UUUUUUUAGAAAAUAUGAAACUGAGAGAGAAAGACUUUCUACAAGCUUAGAGUCAAUGGAUGAAAAAAAAGAAGAUAUAAUUACUGAUGAUGAACAAGAAUUCUUUAAAAGCGUACAAAACGGAAAGGAAGAACAGAUGUAUUUACUUGAAAAUUUUUUUAAAAGAAAAAACAAAGCGAUUUUGGAUAUCAUUAUUUUAAAGAAAGAGCUGCAUAUGCUUAAAAAGAAAAAUAAAGAAUAUAAAAAAACUAUUAAUG